rnacentral:rRNA from 1 species
GAUGAACGCUGGCGGCGUGCCUAAUACAUGCAAGUCGAGCGAACGGACGAGAAGCUUGCUUCUCUGAUGUUAGCGGCGGACGGGUGGGUAACACGUGGAUAACCUACCUAUAAGACUGGGAUAACUUCGGGAAACCGUAGCUAAUACCGGAUAAUCUUUUGAACCGCAUGGUUCAAAAGUGAAAGACGGUCUUGCUGUCACUUAUAGAUGGAUCCGCGCUGCAUUAGCUAGUUGGUAAGGUAACGGCUUACCAAGGCAACGAUGCAUAGCCGACCUGAGAGGGUGAGCGGCCACGCGGGAACUGAGACACGGUCCAGACUCCUACGGGAGGCCGCAGUAGGGAAUCUUGCACAAUGGGCGAAAGCCUGACGGAGCAACGCCGCGUGAGUGAUGAAGGUCUUCGGAUCGAAAAACUCUGUUAUUAGGGAAGAACAUUUGUGUAAGUAACUGUGCACAUCGUGACGGUACCUAAUCAGAAAGCCACGGCUAACUACGUG